rnacentral:lncRNA from 1 species
AGGUAAUAGCCAACCUGUUCCAUAUUUCUAUGCCUCAAUGCCAAUGAUAGGUUUUUACCUAAUCAUGUAUAUACCGCUAAUAUCAAGCCACAAUGUCACCUUGGGUUAAACCUUGUUUAACUACUUUCUUUAACACUAGGUUCAUAUCCAACCUAUAUUCUUUAACGCUGGAUUAAAUGCCACACCUGAUUCCAACCUAUGUUCUUUAACACUAGGUUCAAUGUCACUUGAUGUCCAACCUAUGUAUAUUCACACUAGGUUCAUAUGUCCUUCAUGUCCGACCUAGGUUUACUAACACUAGGUUCAUAUCAUUCAUGUUCAACCUAUGUUCAAGACACUAGGUUUAA